rnacentral:rRNA from 1 species
CAGUCGCCACGGUAAAACGUAGGUGGCAAGCGUUGUCCGGAAUUAUUGGGCGUAAAGGGCUCGCAGGCGGUUUCUUAAGUCUGAUGUGAAAGCCCCCGGCUCAACCGGGGAGGGUCAUUGGAAACUGGGAAACUUGAGUGCAGAAGAGGAGAGUGGAAUUCCACGUGUAGCGGUGAAAUGCGUAGAGAUGUGGAGGAACACCAGUGGCGAAGGCGACCCUCUGGUCUGUAACUGACGCUGAGGAGCGAAAGCGUGGGGAGCGAACAGGAUUAGAUACCCCCGUAGUCCCUGUCUCUUAUAC